GCUAAACGCGAAGAACCUUACCUGGUCUUGACAUGUCUGGAAUCCCGAAGAGAUUUGGGAGUGCCGCAAGGAACCAUGAGACAGGUGCUGCAUGGCUGUCGUCAGCUCGUGUCGUGAGAUGUUGGGUUAAGUCCCGCAACGAGCGCAACCCUUAUCAUUAGUUGCCAACAGGUAAUGCUGGGGACUCUAAUGAGACUGCCUGGGUUAACCAGGAGGAAGGUGAGGAUGACGUCAAGUCCGCAUGGCCCUUAUGUCUAGGGCUACACACGUGCUACAAUGGCCGGUACAAUAGGCAGCAAGACCGAAAGGUGGAGCAAAUCCUUUAAAGCCGGUCCCAGUUCAGAUUGUAGUCUGCAACUCGACUACAUGAAGUUGGAAUUGCUAGUAAUGGCGUGUCAGCAACAACGCCGUGAAUACGUUCCCGGGUCUUGUACACACCG
rnacentral:rRNA from 1 species